AUGUCUUGUAGAUCAAUGGCCAACGCUAAUGUCAACAUGAACUUCAACGCGUUCCUAGAGAAAACCAAGCUGAAAGAUGAUGGCAGCAACUAUACGGACUGGGUCCGGAACCUGAGGAUCAUCCUCAUAGCUGCCAGGAAACAAUAUGUCCUAGAAGGACCGCUAGGUGACGCUCCCGUCCCAGAGAACCAAGACAUUAUGAAUGCUUGGCAGUCUCGCGCUGAUGAUUACUCCCUCGUUCAGUGCGGCAUGCUUUACAGCUUAGAACCGGGGCUCCAAAAGCGUUUUGAGCAUCACGGAGCAUAUGAGAUGUUUGAAGAGCUGAAACUAGUUUUUCAAGCUCAUUCCCGGGUCGAGAGAUAUGAUGUCUCCGACAAGUUCUACAGUUGUAAGAUGGAGGAAAACAGUUCUGUCAGUGAGCACAUCCUGAAGAUGUCUGGGUUGCACAACCGUAUGACCCAGCUGAACAUUAACCUCCCAGAUGAGGCGGUCAUUGACAGAAUCCUCCAGUCGCUCCCACCAAGCUACAAGAGCUUUGUGAUGAACUACAACAUGCAGGGAAUGGAAAAGACCAUUCCUGAAGUGUUCUCGAUGCUGAAGUCAGCAGAGGCUGAAAUCAAGAAAGAACAUCAAGUGUUGAUGGUCAAUAAGACCACUAAGUUCAAGAAGGGCAAGGGUAAGAAGAACUUCAAGAAGGACGGCAAAGAAGUUGCCGCGCCUGGUAAGCCAGUUACCGGGAAGAAGUCAAAGAAUGGACCCAAGCCUGAGACUGAGUGCUUUUAUUGCAAGGGGAAGGGUCACUGGAAGCGGAACUGCCCCAAAUACUUAGCGGAUAAGAAGGCCGGCAACACCAAA
rnacentral:rRNA from 1 species